rnacentral:rRNA from 1 species
UACGAGGGGGGCGAGCGUUGUUCGGAAUUAUUGGGCGUAAAGGGUGCGUAGGCGGUUUGGUAAGUCUCGUGUGAAAUCUACAGGCUCAACUUGUAGUCUGCACGAGAAACUGCCGGGCUUGAGUGUGGGAGAGGUGAGUGGAAUUCCCGGUGUAGCGGUGAAAUGCGUAGAUAUCAGGAGGAACACCGAUGGCGAAGGCAGGUCUCUGGGCUGACACUGACGCUCAUGCGCGAAAGCGUGGGGAGCAAACAGG